rnacentral:lncRNA from 1 species
GAUCUCUGGCACGAGAGCGACCAGCCACAUGCAGCCACUGAGCCCUUGGAAUGUCACCCGUGCAACAGAAGCCCUAACUGUCCAGUGUUGCCUGCGAAAACCUCAACAGCAUUCUCUCAUGUUUUUCUCUCUCCCUCCCUUCCUUUCCCCUACAGCUUAUUCCUCUCUUUCCCCUCCUUCGGAGUCUUUCGUGCCCAGUCCCGGGAUUCUUUCGUUCUGAUUGGUGUUUUCUCCUCAAUGCCUCCUUCCUGGCCCGCUUGUUUCUCCUAAUGAGAAAUGUAGAAGCCGAGGGCCUCACACAGGGGCCGCUUUCCCUGCAUCUGGCACUCACCAGUCUCAGAACUGACCCUGGGUGUCUGUGGAGAGUGGAGAAGCCUGGGGGCAACCACUGGCCUCAGCCUCAGAGCUUCUCAUCUGUAACCCAGGAGGCAAAGGGCCAGCUCAAGGUCCAGCUUGCACGCUCCAGUGUGUGGAAGGAAGGGAGGCGUGCUCUUUGGACUGAGCUGGCUCGAGGGAAGCUGCGUCUGAGGGGAGACUGACCUUGCUCCUCCCUAAGCGAACUGCCCUUUCCCUGCAUCUCAGUCACUAUUACCUGGCACAGGUCACUGUGUGUCCUCAGUCACUCCCAUUGCAUCUAUCCUCUCAAGCACCCCGGGAGGUAGGGACAUUGGACGUUUCUUAAGCACCAACCUCUUGAGGCCCGGCUCCUAAGAUGCACCAGGCACACCUGCCAGAGCACCUUAGCCUGAGAUGUCUGCAAACCACAGUCCGCGGCCGAACCCGCCUCGCUGCCUGUUACUCUAAAUAAGGGUCUAUUGCAGGCAGCGCGCCCCUCCUCCAAUGCAUACGGCGCCCAGCUCAGCGCCUGGUGCAAAGUAAGCAUGACCCGGCUUCCGGCCAUCACCGCUAUUCUACUGUCGUGAAUAUUAGGCCCCUUCUAGAAAGCAAAGAUGACCCAGAAGCUGCCCAUUCUGCGUCCAGAGCACAGAGAUUUUCUUUUUUUCCUUAUCAACUUUAUUGAGGAAUAAUUUACAGUCAAUAAACUGUGUCCAUUUAAAGUUAUUGUCAAGCUCUUAAAGAACUGAAGUUCGUCUUGUUCAGAAGCUGAGGACUAGAGGGAGGAGGCCUGGGCAGCCGCCGCCGAGGUCCUGGAUUUCAGCUUGCAGUUGACAUGCAGGUGGUGGAGGUCCAGCACGUGCAGAGUCACAUGAAAGUCUGGGUGUCAGUGCA